CUUCAGCUCACUAUCUUACUCUUUUACUCUUUUAUGCUCUUACUCUUUUACUAUUUUGUUUAUCCAAUAGAUAGAUAAAUUAUCAAUUAUUAUUACAUA